UUUCUCCUUCCUCCUGAUUAGGCGGUGGAAAAGGGGGCCAAAAUUGGCUCCCCUCCUCACCUCAUUCUGGUUCAGCGGUCAGUAGGAAACCUUAAUAGGUGGAUCGCCAGCCUCUCUCCAUCCAUGGCCUCCGAUUGUUGUCCUCUCUACUAGAGACGGGAUCUAGUGCCCACCACCACUAGAGACGGGAUCUAGUGGUUCCCAAAAAAAAAAAAAAAUUGUUUAAUCUUUCACAAGAAGAUGGGAAGAAAAGGGCCAGCACCCGACACCACUACCCAUUGGGAUUGCCGCCACCUACCUAGAUGGCCGCAUACAAUCAUCGCAACGGAGGAGGACACUACGAAGAUUUUAAUCAUUGGAUACUGGAUGCCAGCGACGUCCAAAAGGGACAGUAGCGCUCCAUAACAUCAACCAAAGAGGACAUCAGAACAGCUAGCUUGCAUUUGGAAGUGGAAUAAGAGGAUGUGAAAGCUCAGCUCUACCCUCUACUCUGUUCUACUACUUCCAAUAUCGAUCUACUUGUUAUACGUUUAUUGCUCUAUGCCAUCAGCCUGUUUGGUUCUUCCAGGAGAGUAAUCCCAGUGCCGCAUCUUGUAACACCUAAGAGCCCCUUUUGUUACACAUAGCUUAGAGUGUAUAUAGAUUCAUGGAAGAGAAAGGGAG